GAUGAACGCUGGCGGCGUGCUUAACACAUGCAAGUCGAACGGAAAGGCUCCUGCUUGCAGGGGUACUCGAGUGGCGAACGGGUGAGUAACACGUGGGUGAUCUGCCCUGCACUUCGGGAUAAGCCUGGGAAACUGGGUCUAAUACCGGAUAGGACGAUGGUUUGGAUGCCAUUGUGGAAAGUUUUUCGGUGUGGGAUGAGCUCGCGGCCUAUCAGCUUGUUGGUGGGGUAAUGGCCUACCAAGGCGUCGACGGGUAGCCGGCCUGAGAGGGUGUACGGCCACAUUGGGACUGAGAUACGGCCCAGAAUCCUACGGGAGGCAGCAGUGGGGAAUAUUGCACAAUGGGCGCAAGCCUGAUGCAGCGACGCCGCGUGGGGGAUGACGGCCUUCGGGUUGUAAACUCCUUUCGCUAGGGACGAAGCGCAAGUGACGGUACCUGGAGAAGAAGCACCGGCUAACUACGUG
rnacentral:rRNA from 1 species